ACGAACGCUGGCGGCAUGCCUAACACAUGCAAGUCGCACGAAGCCUUCGGGCUUAGUGGCGCACGGGUGCGUAACGCGUGGGAAUCUGCCCCUUGCUUCGGAAUAACAGUUAGAAAUGACUGCUAAUACCGGAUGAAGUCUUCGGACCAAAGAUUUAUCGGCAAGGGAUGAGCCCGCGUAGGAUUAGGUAGUUGGUGGGGUAAAGGCCUACCAAGCCGACGAUCCUUAGCUGGUCUGAGAGGAUGAUCAGCCACACUGGGACUGAGACACGGCCCAGACUCCUACGGGAGGCAGCAGUGGGGAAUAUUGGACAAUGGACGCAAGUCUGAUCCAGCAAUGCCGCGUGAGUGAUGAAGGCCUUAGGGUUGUAAAGCUCUUUUACCAGGGAUGAUAAUGACAGUACCUGGAGAAUAAGCUCCGGCUAACUCCGUG
rnacentral:rRNA from 1 species